UUUGAGUCUAACUUACUUCCUGUACAGAGGCAGAAGCUACAGGAAGGCAGAAAUUGCGCCAAAAAUUGAAUGAGUCUAUACAGAUUUUACAAUGUGAGGAGAGAGGCCAUACUGUGAAAAGAGCUCACUUCACCUCAGCUGUUUUCGCAAAAGAAAUGCUAUCACUAGAUGAUGUCCACUCAAUACAAGAACACUGUGUGGUGUAUGAUGUGUUGUACAAAGUUUGCGUAGAAGUGGGAGACUACAAGCUUAUCGGGACGACUUACAGAUUGCAGAGAACUUGAUCAAACGCCUUCAUGCAACUAUUCCUUGAUGGGAACUUGUGACAUCAUGCCAAGUGUUUUCCAGUUGGAGUACGUGUGUUUUGUGUAACUGCUGCUCUCACAACUUGUGUACCCGUGGAAAGGGAUUGUCCUUGGCGUUCCUGUUUGAACUAUAAGCCUGGCUAUUUAAUAAAAUGCUAUUAAAGUUUCUGAUAUCUGUUCUAUUAAUAAAGUUGUCACUGAUCUUA